GUCAUUAAGAAAGUCUGGAUUAAUAGAGUGGGUGGCAUUUUUAUUUCUAGACAAAACAUUAUCCUGAGAUAGUGGAAUCUGAUGAAAUUAGAGGUCGAGGUUCAGAACUGAACAGAAGGCUUAAACAAGUUGCUGCAGUUAUUGAAAAGAAGGAGGGAAGAAAACAAAUAAAGGUUGUAACGGAUCCUCCUGUUAUGAAGAGAAAAUGGCAAGAAUAUGGCUACCAUUCAAAAGCUAAGGUUCAGCGUGUGUAUGCUUCAACUAGCAAUGAAGGAAAAGCAGAAGAUGAUGCUGAUAAGGAUAAACAGAUCACAGAUUCUACUCAAAAUUUACCUUCUCAAGAUGGAAAGGAUACUCAAGAUGAACAGGAAAAAAGCCAAAAAGAACAACCGAAACCAGCUGAAAAGCUAAAUGCUAACAAUGCUGAUGAAAGCAACAAAGCUGAUGAAAACAGCAAAGGCAACAAGACUGAGUGUGAUGACUGCAAACAAUCAAAAGGUGAAGACAAGGAAAUCCAGGAUAAAGAGAAAGAUGAUGAUGAAAUAAAAUCUGAAGAAUUCACUAGCCAUGAAGAACUACUAGGAUAUUUGGUAGGUGUUAAAUUUAUGUUGAGCCAAGUUUGAUGAAAAAUUU
rnacentral:lncRNA from 1 species